rnacentral:misc_RNA from 1 species
CACCUCACGCGUGUCGAGCCGAACCGACGCGCGCUUUUGACUUUUUGAUCGUGACGGAGUCGCAGCGCCGACACACGCACACACAAGCACACGCGGCUCCGUUUCGACGGCACCCGAAGGGAUCACACGCGCCACAGAUUCGCGUGCGGUCUCCUGAAGUUUGCCUCUCUCCCGUUACUCCCUAGGGCGGGCGUGUAUGGGCACAAAGCAGUCGCCAUACACAUACCCAGAUACAUUGACACACACGCACACAGAGAUUGAACCGUUCGCAGCAAUGCCGUCCAAUGCUGAGCUCUAUAUAUACUACUGUCGGCGCUCCGCAUGCCACCCCAAUAGCGCGGUGAAGCGCUACCUCGACGACACAGCCAGCAGCCCGCUCGAGGUAGUGGAUGUCUCGGCGAACUACUUGGGCACGCGCGGCCUUAUUCCUGUCUUGGACCUCGUAAAGAACACCAAGACGGUGCACACGUUGGAUUUGAGCAACAACAUGAUGGAGCUGGAGCAUGUGGAGCACCUGGCGUACUGCCUCGCCCUCCACCCCUGCAUGCGGACGGUGCGCCUGUGCAACGACGGGUUGCAUGACGGCCACGUCGAUGCGCUGCUGCAGCUGCUGGCGGAAAACGCGUCCAUUGAGCACGUUUCUGUAGAGGGCAACAACUUGACGGCGGCUUCGGUGCAGGCUAUUGCACGGGCGCUAGAAAAGAGCAAGGCGGUGCGGGCGCAGCGCCGCCGCGAGGAGGAGGAGCACGACUCCUAUCUGAAGAGCCACACGCCCCGAGCGCGUCUAUCCUUUCAAGCACGCCUCUCCGACCACAUAUCGGCGGCAGAGUCCGGCGGCUACACCCACUACGCGACGUGGUGGAAGAACCCGCAGUACAGCGUGAAGCUCUCUCGCUCGUCGCGCGUGUUGUUUGUGCUGGAGUGCGCCCAUGCCGAGGCCGCCAAUCAGGUAGGAAUGCUGCUGAUGCGUCACGACGGCGUGCACCGCGUUGUCGAAAUCCUUGCUGAUACCCUUGUUGUGGAAAGCUCCAUCGAAGAUCAGCGGUGCGCUAUGGAGGCCCACCUUCGCAUGGAUGAGUCGUACGUUGUGAUGCCCUUCUCCUUUAACGUGGGCCGCGCCGUGGACUUUACGCUGGUCGCCACCCUUCGCAACGACCACACUGCGCAGGAGGAGGGCUGGAUCACGGUAGAGCGGCUCAACGCGCGGUACGACUGGUGCAUGCGAACGGUGGAAGCGGCCUGGACGAGCGACAACGCCGGCGGAGGCCCGGACUGCCUUUCCUGGCGGCGCAACGACAUGUACCACCUCACGUGCGCGAACACCGCCGCCGCUGCGGGGCAGCAGCAGCAGCCGUCCUUCAUGGCCACCGUGCACGUAUUGCUCAUGAAGGAGGCUGAUCCGUACGAGAACGAUAGUCGGGCAAUUGGGCUGGACGUGGUCACCUACGACGUCCACAACGCGACUGCUCCGCCGCUGCUAUGUACCCCCGAAGUCGUGCGCGCGUCCCACUCUCACCAGCGGAAGACCUUUAUUUCGCUGCAGUUCAGCAUGCCUGUCGCAGAGCUGGACGUGUUCGUUGUCCCGAGUACGGCGGAGGCGAGGCAGACGGGGACGUAUAGCAUCACCGUUUUCAGCUCGGUGUCAGUCGACUUCGCGAGGUCGGCGUUCCCGCACGGGUGGCGCUAUCGCACCGUGACCGGCUACUGGGAUGCCGACUGCUGUGGUGGGUGUCGUCAGCUGUAUCAGUCGUGGAAGAACAACCCUGCCACGGAGGUGUGCGUCGAGGAUGCCGCGAAGUCUCUCGUGGCAUGCGUUGAGGUGCACGCGGCGGAAGCAACGACGGUGGCGCAGAGUGCAGAGGAGAAGACGGCUACUGCAGCCGCCGAAGAAACACCGGCGGCGAUGGAAAGGAAGGCAGAGCUGGAGGAGUUGCGUCAACGUCACCGCAGCUCUAAGCGAGAAGUCUGCGUCGCCGUGGUGAGCUGCAGCCCGCCGUCGUACGCCGAGUUGGCCGUGUCGGCGCUGUCGGAAAAGUCAGCGAUGGCGGUAGCCAGCGAUAUUCAGCAGCCCGUCUUUGUCGUACCAAUGCUCCGCCACGCCGCCGAGACGGGCGCCUACACUUUGGAGCUCUUCUCCUCUUCUUCUUUUGUCGUCUGCGGGGCAACACAGUCGCUCGCCGUACGACAGCGAAAGGUACAGCUGGCUGCCUACUCCGCCGAAAACGGGCGGCGCGCAGCACAGCAAAACGCAGAGCAGCAAGCUUGUCGCGGUGGCGCCGACCUGCCCGCCCUGCGUGAGGAGAGACGGGCAAUAUUGGACAGGCUCUACGCGACUGACCUGCCGUUUGUCGACCGCGACUUCCCGCGCGGCACAUCGUCCCUGUUUCUAGACCCGGCUGGUGCCCCGCCGCUAAACUUUCCGGCGGUGACGGAGUGGAGGCGCGCGUCGCAGCUGAAGGUCUCGCUCCACGCGCGUGAAGGCGACGCGACCUUCAUGAGCCCGCCCUCACCCUACGGCCCCCGCCACUGGUUCGCCUCGGUGCUGAACUCGGUGGCAGCCAAGCCAGGAUGGCUAUCUCGUGUCUUUGUGGACUACUUCAGGGAGGCCGGGUUUGCGCAGUUUGCCUUCUACAAACAGAACGAGUGGGUCGGUGUGACGGUGGACGACUACCUGCUCGUGGACAACCAAGGCGCGCUGGUUUACGGCCAUGGCGCCGCUGCCGAUGACGCGCUCUUUCCGUUGGCCGAAAAGGCGUACGCGAAGCUCCAUCGGUGCUACGAGGCGAUGGAGCUGAAGGUGUGCCCACAGCAGUCGCUGUUGGAGUUGCUGCGCCAGGGGCUCAUGGACGUGUCAGGAGGCUACUGCUCCACGAUGCGAGUGAGGCCCUCAGACGGCUCCGAACUGCCAGAGAACGAGCGGGAGGCGCUGUGGCGCCAGCUCAAGGCCGGCGUAAGCCACUCAGUGCUCUGCGCUUUGAUGCUGGACAGCCGCAGCACCGGCGCACGGGAGCGCUCGCGUGCCGGUCUUCUGCCCGAUCGUCUCUACGGUGUCAUGGACGCCCGCUUUGUAGAGCAGCAGCGAGUGGUGAAGGUCCGCAAUGUCGACUCUCGCAAUGACGCCGACACGACGUGGCGGGGGAAGUGGGCGGAAAAGAGUUCGCUCUGGACGGAGACGCUGCUUGAGGUACUUCAGUACCGCCCUGACGAGGACGCCAUGUGGAUGCACUUCGACGAGGUGCUCUACUACUACACGCACUUGCUCGUGACAGAGGUAUGCGCGCGCACGGCCACCGUCUCCGGCAGCUUCGCCGAGUCCACCGCCAACGACCCCGACGAUGCCGACCUUUCGCUGCGUAACCCACAGUACGCACUUACGGUGACGAGAGCAUCUGCAACGGUGGCGGACACGGCGCCAAUCGAGGUGCAUGUUGGAGUGCACCGCCGCGAUCCUCGCCUCGAUAUCACACGCGACAAGCACGCCACUGCCACGCUCAAAACGGCGAUCGGCUUUGCUGUGCUAGCGACGGAAGACAACUGCCGGCGCGUCUGCCGCAUCACAGACAAGCAGCUGUUGCAGCUCGUCACCCCGAACCGGCAGCGCGACGCCUACUGCACGCUACAACUCACCGCCGAGGCGCUCUGCUCGCAGCGCAUUACUGUUAUGCCGUUCCGCGAGCACACUUGCGACACCGACGCGCUCUACUGCAUCUCGGCGAGCUGCAGCGGCCCCGCCACGGUAAGCAUCGCGCACGUCACCCCCAACGCCAUCACCACCGUGGCAGGGCAAUGGGACUCAAAUGUCGGUGCCCCUGACUCGCCGCUCUGGCGCAACAACCCGCAGUUCUUUCUCUCUCCCGUGGAAGCGAUGGAGGUGACAAUAACGCUGCGCACGGCUCAUCCGACAUCCGGCGUGCGCGGCUUCACCGUCCACAACACGCAGCGGUGUAGCAGCUUUCUUACCUUUGAGCCCGCCACAGUUGUGGCGAGCGCCGCUGCAGAUACGGUAGGGGGGGUGCCGACGUGCGUGGUGCGUCUGGCCGGCAUGAAGGAAAGGCGUGGAAUGCCAUAUGUGGUGGUGCCGUACUCCUCCGGCGGAGCCGAGGACUUUAGUGUGGAGGUGACUGCCAAUCGUUCAGUGCAGCUUCGACCGAUUGACCCACGACUUGACUGGCAUAGGGUGCGGCAGAACGUGUCGAUCAGCGCUGAGAAAGGCAACGCCGGCGGCAGUCUCGCAUUUCCGUCGUGGCGUUUCAACACUCAGAUGGCGCUCACGUUCCCCGUGGAGCGCGAGGGCCGUCUUUUCAUAUCUGCCCGGCGUCUCCGCUCCGCCGACCCACGCGUGAAGGUGGGCAUGGUGCUGAUGCGGUCCAGUCGCACCGUGAGCGGCGGCUACCGCCGCCUUCUCGUUUACGUAGAGGCGGACAUCGUUGCGCGGUCAUCGGAAAGGGCCGGCGGAGAGGCUACUCUGGCCACAGAGGUGAACCUUUCAGCCGGGCAAGGGGCGCUGGUGCUGUUGGUCCACGCAGACCAACCGUACAAGGAGGCCGAGGUAGAGGUGAGCGUCUACUCGGCAGCCACCGUGGAGGUGCAACCAGUGGUGGAGUGGACGAAGGUGUUGUGGGAGGAAGGAAGUUGGGAGCUUGGUACCACCGCCGGUGGAAGCCGCACCCACUUCGCGAAUUGGAUCAACAACCCCUUCUACGGCCUCUCGGUAAUUCGAAGUACCAAAGUUGUCGUCCUCCUCUUGCAGUACCCCCGCGACCGCGAGCACCCCAAGGUGCGGCGGUAUGGUCAGAAGAAGGCGUUUCUGCCGCCCCCAAUAGAGUUCAAGGAGCGAUGCACCACCAUCGAACUGAGCAUCGUCAAGUACGACAAGGACCUUUCAGAGGUGGCAAGCGUGAAUGCGGGAACCGCGGCGGAGGCGUACCUGGUAACGGAGCUGCUGCCUGAUCAGCCGUACCUCCUCGUGCCGUGCACCAGCGAGCCGCAGCACGACGGGGACUUCAAACUCUUCGUCUUUGCCGAUCACCCCAUUGAUCUCUUUGAGGCCGAGAAGCCGCGGCUGCCGUACGUCUAGCGCCACCUUGCUUUUGCUAAGCGUGUGCUACGCCAACAUCCGAAGAGAAGGCGCACAGGGACGUGCGGCCGGGGGGGGGGGGGUAUGCGCUGCAGGUACGGAAAGAGAGGUGAGUGUCUUGGUAACUGUGCGCUACGAUGCUGCCUCUCCGCUCCCUUCACCUCUCCCUCCCGUGCCCCCGUUUCGCCGCCUGCCGUGACAUGUAAACGACCUACUUUUUUGUUCUCUCUUCGGCUACGUGCCUCCUGCGACCUAUAAUGCUGUUGUACUGUCUUGUAUGGCCUCCCUAUCCUGUGCGCUUGCUGCGUGUGGGUGAGUGGCCACGAAGCCAAUACGGCCCUUCGGCGUCCACAUCGGGCGUGUGGUGGGGAGGGAGCGAAAAAGAGGGGCGGGGUGAUGAUGAGUGGAGAUGAGACAGAUGAGGCCGCUGUGUUUGGCCGCAUCUUCUCUACCCCCGCGGACACAG